rnacentral:rRNA from 1 species
ACGGAGGGGGCUAGCGUUGUUCGGAAUUACUGGGCGUAAAGCGUGCGCAGGCGGUUUUGUAAGCCAGAUGUGAAAUCCCCGGGCUUAACCUGGGAAUGGCAUUUGGGACUGCAAGGCUUGAGUGCGGCAGAGGAGACUGGAAUUCCUGGUGUAGCAGUGAAAUGCGUAGAUAUCAGGAGGAACACCGAUGGCGAAGGCAGGUCUCUGGGCAUUAACUGACGCUGAGGAGCGAAAGCAUGGGGAGCGAACAGGA